rnacentral:rRNA from 1 species
CCUACGGGUGGCUGCAGUGGGGAAUAUUGCACAAUGGGGGAAACCCUGAUGCAGCGACGCCGCGUGAGCGAAGAAGUAUUUCUGUAUUUAAAGCUCUAUCAACAGGGAAGAAAAUGACUGUACCUGAGUAAGAAGCUCCGUCUAACUACGUGCCAGCAGCCGCGGUAAUACGUAUGGAGCAAGCGUUAUCCGGAUUUACUGGGCGUAAAGGGAGCGUAGGCGGCCUUCCAAGUCUGUUGUGAAAUACCGGGGCUCAACCACGGGGGUGCAGUGGAAACUGGCAGGCUGGAGUGCAGGAGAGGCAGGCGGAAUUCGUAGUGUAGCGGUGAAAUGCGUAGAUAUUAGGAGGAACCCCAGUGGCGAAGGCGGCCUGCUGGAGGGUGACUGACGCUGAGGCUCGAAAGCGCGGGGAGCAAACAGGAUUAGAUACCCCAGUAGUC